GGUGUUUAAGAAAAUUCGGUUAGUGCCAAUCGGUUUCUGUAAAAACUUAAAACCGAGUAUUUCGGGUUAGGUUAUCUCGGUUCAGUGUUCAGUUAUAACCGAAAUAACCGUAUAUUCACUGAAUCAUACACAAAAUCAACGAAAUCAACGGAUACAAUCAUCUAUACACCAAAUUGAAACAAGAUACAUAAAAAAUCCAACACAAAUGAAUUCAACAUUGGUUACAAAUCCAAAGAAGAGCAUUGGUUUCGAAGAGAGGGGCAAGUGAACUGUGGCUCCGCUUGGCGAGGAGCAGCGGAGGGCUUCUGGACAGGACAAAGAAGUAGCAAGCCGGUGUUGCCCGCCGGGAACAGGCCCAGGCGGCCGGCCAGCACGCGCCGCCCGCGGCCGAGGCCAGGCGGCCGGGGCCAGGCGACCUGCCUGCACGCGCCGCGCGUGGCUGGGGCCAGGCAGCUGGCCAGCACGCCCGCCCGCGGCCGGCCUGCAAGCGACGCCGCGAGGGGGCAGGCGGGUUGCCGCCUACGUGCGCCGCCUGCACGCGUGCACUGGGCGAGCGGCCGCCAGG
rnacentral:lncRNA from 1 species